rnacentral:lncRNA from 1 species
CCGCCCCCACUCCAGCCCCGGGAAGCCCCGAUUGCGGGCGGAGCGCGAGCCACCGCGGCGGGUGGAGCCUGCGGCCGCCGGAUCCCAGGGCCAAUCGCGCGGUGGCAGGGGAGGAGCCCCGGAGGGGGAAAAAGAAAGUGCGGCGGAAAGUAAGAGGCGAGUCGAGGAAGGCUGCUGGGAUCUGGGUCUCCUGGGCUCGGCUUGGACCAGGGCGCGGAAAGAGGCAGUGGCCGGCCACCCUGCACCCAUCCCGUCAUUGUCGCCGAGUCUGCUCGGCUGGCCCAGGAAGGAUGGGAUUUCUGUGGUUGAUGAGUCUGUGCUUCUUUGGGAUCCUGCAGAGUCAUGCCUCAGGAUAUUUUGACAUCCAUGGUUUGAUUUUAAGUGCCUCUUCAGAAUUUCUCACUGUUCCUCAAAAUAAAGGAAGAUGAAAGAGGAGAGAGGGAGGAGAAUAAAGAAGAAAGAGAAACAAAGGAGUGAGGAGAA